rnacentral:rRNA from 1 species
UAGGGAAUCUUCCGCAAUGGGCGAAAGCUUGACGGAGCAACGCCGCGUGAGUGAUGAAGGUCUUCGGAUCGUAAAACUCUGUUAUUAGGGAAGAACAAAUGUGUAAGUAACUAUGCACGUCUUGACGGUACCUAAUCAGAAAGCCACGGCUAACUACGUGCCAGCAGCCGCGGUAAUACGUAGGUGGCAAGCGUUAUCCGGAAUUAUUGGGCGUAAAGCGCGCGUAGGCGGUUUUUUAAGUCUGAUGUGAAAGCCCACGGCUCAACCGUGGGGAGUCAUUGGAAACUGGAAAACUUGAGUGCAGAAGAGGAAAGUGGAAUUCCAUGUGUAGCGGUGAAAUGCGCAGAGAUAUGGAGGAACACCAGUGGCGAAGGCGACUUUCUGGUCUGUAACUGACGCUGAUGUGCGAAAGCGUGGGGAUCAAACAGG